rnacentral:lncRNA from 1 species
AAAGAUCAAGACACUUGCAAUAGGAAAGAUUAGAAAGCUUGCAAUAGGAAGGAUCGGAACACUUGCAAAAGGAAAUGCAAUAGGAAAGAUAAGAACACUUGCACGAGGAAGAUCAUAAUACUUGCAAUAAGAAAAAUUAGAACAAUUACAGGAGAACGAUCGGGAAACUUGCCUUUUAAAGAUUUUGAUCCGAAGAUCCAAAGAAGGUGUCAGCCCAAAUCCUUCUACUUUUCCUCCGUCCCCUCCCUGUUUCGUUUUGUGCACUCGUUUUCUUUCUUUCUUCGCAACUACAUCACGUGUCGAACAUCGA